rnacentral:tRNA from 1 species
GUCUUCGUAGUGUAGUGGUCAGCACGUUCGACCCAAAUUCGAGAGGUCUGUGGUUCGAAUCCCGGCGAGGGCA